ACGCUCGACACCUACUGGAGGCAGCAGUGGGGAAUAUUGCACAAUGGGGGAAACCCUGAUGCAGCGACGCCGCGUGAGCGAAGAAGUAUUUCGGUAUGUAAAGCUCUAUCAGCAGGGAAGAAAGUGACGGUACCUGACUAAGAAGCACCGGCUAAAUACGUGCCAGCAGCCGCGGUAAUCUGAGCGGGCUGGCAAGGC
rnacentral:rRNA from 1 species